rnacentral:rRNA from 1 species
ACGGGAGGCAGCAGUGGGGAAUAUUGGACAAUGGAGGAAACUCUGGUCCAGCGACGCCGCGUGAGUGAAGAAGUAUUUCGGUAUGUAAAGCUCUAUCAGCAGGGAAGAUAAUGACGGUACCUGACUAAGAAGCCCCGGCUAACUACGUGCCAGCAGCCGCGGUAAUACGUAGGGGGCAAGCGUUAUCCGGAUUUACUGGGUGUAAAGGGAGCGUAGACGGUAUGGCAAGUCUGAUGUGAAAACCCGGGGCUCAACCCCGGGACUGCAUUGGAAACUGUCAAACUAGAGUGCAGGAGAGGUAAGUGGAAUUCCUAGUGUAGCGGUGAAAUGCGUAGAUAUUAGGAGGAACACCAGUGGCGAAGGCGGCUUACUGGACUGUAACUGACGUUGAGGCUCGAAAGCGUGGGGAGCAAACAGGAUUAGAUACCCUGGUA